UAACCCCCAAAUCCGACCACUCUCCCUCCCUCAUUCACUCUCAUCUGAUUUUUGAAGACUCUCUCAAGUGUUCUCUCCAUUUGCAACCCCAAGAACACCAAAGAAACUUGGAAGCUAAGUCUUGGUCUAGGAAGGGUUUUCCCUAAGUUUGUUAGGGUUUUUGAAAGGUUUUGAAGGAGUCAAAGCUUAUAGGAAGGUCCAAACCUUAAGCAAGAACACCAAAGAGUAUUGGCUAAGCGUAACUGGACUGAACGUUGGAGGGUGAAAACUUGCUGAGCGCUAAGGACUCCAAGUAAGAGCAAGGGCAAGGCAGAGCAGUGAGCGCUGGAGUCUUCCUUGCAAAUGUACAUGUGGACCGACCUUUUGGGAAGCCUUUUUAUUUUUGGAAAUGUUGUGUAAUUUUCCUAAACUAGGCUCACUCUAAUCUUUGUAAAACAUGUUUGUAACUAAAUGUUAAGUAUGGCCAUACGACUUUUUAAAAAGUUUUUUUUUCUAUGGGUUUUUGAGACAUUUUGUUAAAUGAAAACAUUUAUAUUUCCGCAUU